AGAAUCCCGGGUGCGUCCGUGGGCACUGAGGAAGAAGACUCAACUAGUUGAACUGUUCUGGCCCAGUCGUGUCUUUGCAACGAUGGAGGACGACGAGGUUCACCUUUACACUGCAGAAGGUGAAAGAGAGUGUGACUAAAGAGGAGCCCGUCACCUCAAGUCCAAAGGGU